CCUUGAGAAUCCCAACCUUGCUGGGAGGUUGGGCCUUGCCCCUUCCUACCCUUUGUCCUUCUGGGAAGUCUGUUAAGGCAAUGGCCACCAUGGGACUCGGAUUCCCUUGUUUUCGCUGGGUCGGGCUGGAUUAUUGCUCGGGUUUGUUUUUCUGAUCUGGUCGUUUUGCUUGGAAAUCGCAGCCUCUAGUUUUUCUGUGCUCCUGUUUUUUCAAUCUCACUAUCUCAGUAUCUCAGUCUCUUCCUUUCUCCCCCGCUUCCCCCCCCCCCCUUUUUUUCCUCAAGCCAGGUAUGAUGAUGUCAAACAUGAUGCUGAUGCUACAGUUACAGACACAGCCCCUCCUGGCGCAGCCUCUCUGAUUCUCUGCCUUUCUGCUUCCAGCUCUGGGGGUUUUCAGACAAGUGCAUCUCCUAAUCAGGUCACAUUUCAUCCAGGACCCACCAUCCAUCUCUUCCCCCAGUCAUUUCAGUGGUGGAGGAGGAGGAGAGAAGACCACUUUUGGCUGCAUUGUGGUGGGAGAGGAGAGAAAAUUAAGGCAAAGAAAAUUAAAAAAAAGAACCCCAAACCAAUUCUCCCCCUUCCAAAACAAACAAACAAAAAAAACAAAGACUAACCAACCCCAAUCCAGAUCAAAGAUGAGCGCUGGGGGUUUUGGGCUGCGGCUGCUGCUGCUGCCUCUUCUGCUCAUUGCCGCCCCUGCGCCCGGCUCGGCAGAGGGGGACUCCAAGGGGGUCAAGGAUGGCGAGACCCCUGGCAAUUUCAUGGAGGAUGAGCAAUGGCUGUCGUCCAUCUCCCAGUAUAGCGGCAAGAUCAAGCACUGGAACCGCUUCCGAGACGAUGACUACAUCAAGAGCUGGGAAGACAGUCAGCAAGGAGAUGAAGCUCUGGACACCACCAAGGACCCCUGCCAGAAGGUGAAGUGCAGCCGACACAAGGUGUGCAUCGCUCAGGGCUACCAGAGAGCCAUGUGCAUCAGCCGGAAGAAACUAGAGCACAGGAUCAAGCAGCCUGCCCUGAAACUCCAUGAAAACAAAGAAGGCUUUUGUAAACCGUGUCACAUGACCCAGCUUGCCUCUGUCUGCGGUUCUGAUGGACACACUUACAGUUCCGUGUGCAAACUGGAACAGCAGGCCUGCCUGACCAGCAAGCAGCUGACGGUGAGAUGUGAGGGUCAGUGUCCUUGUCCCACAGAACAGGCUCCGGCCUCCACCACGGACGCCAAGCAAGAAACCUGUACGGGGCAGGAUCUGGCGGAUCUGGGGGACCGGCUGCGGGACUGGUUCCAGCUCCUUCAUGAGAACUCCAAACAGAAUGGCACCGCCAGUGCCGGAGCCAACCCUGUGGGAGUCCUGGACAAGAGCCUGGGGGCCAGCUGUAAGGAUUCCAUUGGCUGGAUGUUCUCCAAGCUGGACACGAGCAACGAUCUCUUCCUGGACCAGUCUGAGCUAGCGGCCAUCAACCUGGACAAGUACGAGAUCUGCAUCCGUCCCUUCUUCAACUCCUGUGACACCUACAAGGACGGCCGCGUCUCCACUGCCGAGUGGUGUUUCUGCUUCUGGAGGGAGAAACCUCCCUGCCUGGCUGAACUGGAGAGGAUUCAGAUCCAGGAGGCAGCUAAAAAGAAACCUGGCAUCUUCAUCCCCAGCUGCGACGAGGACGGCUACUACAGGAAGAUGCAGUGUGACCAGAGCAGCGGCGACUGCUGGUGUGUGGACCAGGUCGGGCAGGAGCUGACGGGAACCCGGAUGCACGGGAGCCCAGACUGCGAUGACAUUGUCGGGUUCUCUGGGGACUUUGGCAGCGGUGUCGGCUGGGAGGACGAGGAGGAGAAGGAGACGGAGGAGGCCGGCGAGGAAGCCGAGGAGGAGGAGGGCGAGGCGGGCGAGGCAGAUGAUGGAGGCUACAUCUGGUAGAGGCCCAGCGAGGGAGGCCGGCGGAGGGGGAUGCUGGGGGACCGACAGCUGGGAGGGAACGCGAAGCAGGGAGCCGGGCGGAGCAGGGCAGCCUAGGGCUGGUCAGGAAAAAGUGGAACGUAGCUUGACUCCAGUGGGGACGAAUGAGUGCGUGUGAGCGUGCGUGUGAGCGUGCGGGCGCGUGUGCAGUGGGUGACGGGGUGUGUGAGAGAGUGAGCGCGUGCGUGCCCUGCGGCUGUGGGCGGGGCCACCGGGUGACGCCCCUCCGGGCAAACAGCCGCCCAGUCACCUCCAGCCUUCACACUCUUCUUUUUUCCAAACACGACCUUAAACAUGGAGGAGGUAGGAUGCCCUUUCUCCCUCCGCACCCUGACGUCCUCCCCAAGCGCCCUGUGACCGCCCUCCUCCCGUCAGUCCCUGAGCCCUCUGCAGACAGCGGCCGCCAUUUGUACCAGACCCAACUCCUUCCCACCCUGGGCUGGCCCGCGCCCCGGCUUCCCCCCGAGGCCCCGGCUUCCCCCCGAGGGAGGAAGGCCUGCGGACCUGCAUGGCAGAGCGGCCCCUUGUCAUGCGUCCUGAGGGGCAGCAGGCCGGGACCCCUGAGCUGCUUGGCGGCCAAGCUCCCCAUCACUAGCCUCAGAAAGGAGGAGAAAGGCAUCGGGGGCCAGUCCUUUCCACGGCUGGUUCUUGCCAAGCCAGAGUCUGGUCCGGCGCAGCUGGUGGGAGAAGCGGGGAGGGGACGGAAGCUGCCAGGGAGGGGAAGAAGUUUAAGGCUAGCGGUGCGAGAAGGCCUUGCCCAGCCAAGGGCUCCUACAAGGCCGGGCCCGGAGUGUCCCCGAGCGGCUCAGAUGGCUACCCAGGGGCCUAGGACGGGAGCACCCCCCGAGUGGAAAGACUAGAACCUUCGGGCGGAGUUGGAACAGUUCUCUUGUAGAUCCUAGGUUCAGGGCCUUCUUGGGCCGGAGAGGGCCCUGUGUCUUCCUGCAGCGGGGGUUUCCCUACAGGCUCAGCAGGGGUUUAACACCAGAACUGCUUUCUUCGGGGAAGUCAGAGGGUGGGUCAUUCCACCCCUCCCGUUCCUGCCUAAGAACUGGCACAAAGCGGCAUUGGGCCUGUCGGAUCUUGUUGGGGAGAGAAAUGAAACUACCCGGAGCUUUCUGUAGUGAUUCCUUGGCCCCUUUGUCAGAAUUUCCCCCUCCUUUCCUGGACCCUGGAAACAGGCAAUCCCACGUCAGGUUUUGGAAAUAACUUUUUGAAACGAACUUCAAAGCUGGCCAGAGGGCUCUGGAAGUGGUAGGGGCAGGGAGGCAUCCGUUUCCUUGCCCUUGCCUUCAUCCUCCCUCCCCCAACCAUUCAUUCAGCAGCCAUUGUCAAGCAUCUCCUAGGUUCUCUAGGCACUGGGCUGUCAAAGAUGCGCUGGAGCCAGGGCUUGACAUUCGCUCGGGGGAGGAGGGAAACAGCAUGAACACCUAUAUUCCACAUUUAGUCAGGGAAAGCUAAGUAAUUUUGGGUGGGAUGCCAUCAGCACCUGGAGGAACAAGGAGAGGCCUGCUAGAGGAGCCGAUACUGGAGCUGGAAGGAAGCCAAGGAGGCUGGGAGAUGGAGGAUGGGGAAGAGCUGGGAGGGCAGGCAGCCUGGGGGACGGCUCUUGUCGGAGGCGGCGGCCAUGGUGGGCUGGGUCUGAGCUCCUGGGCCGCUCCCUGCGCUCUGCAGUCAUGGCUCCAAGGGCCAGGGUUCUUCCCAUUAACUGCUUUUGGGACUUGGGCAUUGGGAUAGGGCAGAUUGGAGAGCAGAGGGAGGAGGAGAAAGGGGGAGUCAGGGAGGGGGCAAGGUCCCUCCCAGAUGCCUCGCCAUCCAGGAACGAGCUGGUGGGGAAGGGUGGGCACGGUCAGGCUCCUCUGUGGGCAACUUACAGACCAGGGCCAGGGGCCCUUGGUUCCCUCGUGGUUUUUCCUUCAGUUUUUCUCGAUAUUGGGUUCCCCUGUAAUUGAAGGAAUUUUCCUAUUAACGGGAAGAGGCUCCCUGCUCAUGUCCUCACCAUCCUGACACCCAGUGCUCACAGACAUUGUGCACGUGUGUCUAUGGGUGUGUUUUUAAGGGCACGCAUGAGUGUGUGGGUGGUGCAAGCCCCAGGCUGAGUAUGUGUGAGAGUGAGUGUGAUUGUGUGUGUGAGAGAGUAUGAGUGAGUGUGUGUGUGAUGGGCACGGGAGGUGUGGGGUGGGAGGGAGGGGAGGCCUGUGAAGAUGUCUCUCUGGGCUGCCUGCCUUUGACUUUCCCUAAAUCCCAUCAGCUUUGAAAGACCCUCCCCAACAUCCCCCCUUCCCCAGCCCAGGGACUCCCUCCUCUCCUGGGAGGAGUCAAGCUCCAAACGCUGUCAUCCCGGCUAAGUGCUCACAGCCGUACAGUAGGAAAGGUCACUCUGUAGCUCGGCUCUGAUAAUAAACGUGUCUUGCCUUCCGAA